rnacentral:rRNA from 1 species
UACGUAGGGUGCAAGCGUUGUCCGGAAUUAUUGGGCGUAAAGAGCUCGUAGGCGGUUUGUCGCGUCUGCUGUGAAAUCCGGAGGCUCAACCUCCGGCCUGCAGUGGAUACGGGCAGACUAGAGGUAGGUAGGGGAGAAUGGAAUUCCCGGUGUAGCGGUGAAAUGCGCAGAUAUCGGGAGGAACACCGGUGGCGAAGGCGGUUCUCUGGGGCCUUACCUGACGCUGAGGAGCGAAAGCGUGGGGAGCGAACAGG